rnacentral:rRNA from 1 species
UUCGGUGAUUAUUGAAAGUGGGUCACACCCGUUCCCAUUCCGAACACGGAAGUUAAGCCACUUUUCGCUGAUGGUACUUGGUUUUCGAACCUGGAAGAGUAAGUCAUCGCCGGAU